AUAGAGGCAGGUCAAACCCAGUUCGAAGCGACGACUUUGUGUACGAUGAUGAAGCAGCAAAGAGGAGCAGGCUUUCUGCACUGUAAGCAGAAGGGCUCACUGGACAGUCGCAAAUUGGAUGCGCUCAAACAUCAUUGCUUGAUGAGAUUUCCUCCAACGGCAGAAGAAAAUGCUAAGACUAUUAUAUAAUGUCAAGAUUAACGAAGUCCUAGGUGAUGAACGUCGAUUCCAAGCGAGGAAAUGACUGUUAUACUACUCAUAGAUUUGCAAGUGAGCUGGAGAUAGAGAUAUUUUGCA